GUUAAAGGUCUCCAGCCAAGGUCCUGUGAAGCCACCAGUUUGGAGGAAAGGAGAGAAGCUGAGCUGACCAUAAUCAAGAUGGUUCAGGAAGCAGCUUUCUCGCAAGAAAUACCGCUACUCCAGAGUCACAAGGAGACACCAGUCAAGGGCAAGGCCAGUAAGUUGCAUCGGUUGGGUCCCUUCCUGGAUGACCAAGGUGUUCUCAGAGUUGGAGGCCGCUUAACUCAUGCCACCUUACAUCCACAAGUGAAACAUCCAGCGAUUCUUCCAAAAGACAAUCAUGUAUCGAUGUUACUUGUCAAGCAUUAUCAUGAGAGAGUGCUUCACCAGGGACGAGGGAUGACCAUGAAUGCCCUCCGAUCCAAUGGCAUAUGGAUACUAGGCUGCAGUAAAGCAGUAUCUUCCCACAUCUACAAGUGCACCAAGUGCCGGAAGUUCAGGAGAUGCACUGAGCAACAAAGAAUGGCGGACCUCCCGGAAGACCGGAUGGAGACGGCUCCUCCAUUCACUUACUGCGGGAUGGACUGCUUUGGACCAUUUUACGUAAAGGAAGGAAGGAAAGAGCUUAAACGCUAUGGAUUGAUACUUACCUGCAUGUGUUCCAGAGCUAUUCACAUUGAAAUGCUCGACAACCUGUCCACAGAUGCAUUCAUUAACUCUCUGCGUUCAUUCAUCGCUAUUCGUGGAAAUGUGCGCCAAUUAAGAAGCGAUCAAGGAACCAACUUCGUUGGGGCAAGACGAGAGUUUGCCGAAGCUUUGAAAGAGAUGAAUCAGGAAGAGUUCAAGGAACUGGGAUGUGAGUUCAUCAUGAAUACCCCAGCUUCAAGUCACAUGGGUGGUGUCUGGGAAAGACAAAUCCGCACCAUCAGAAGUGUCUUGACGUCCAUUCUAGAACAGUCAUCCUCACAGCUUGACUGCUCCUCUCUAAGAACAUUCCUGUAUGAAGUCAUGGCAGUUGUGAACAGCAGACCUCUGACCACUGACUGUCUCAGUGAUUCGUCCAGUCCAGAGCCCCUGACGCCGAACCACAUACUGACCUUGAAGUCCACAAUCCUCGCUCCACCUCCUGGGAAAUUUGCCAAUGAAGAUCUGUACCUCCGCAAGAGAUGGCGUCGAGUUCAACUACUAGCCAACCACUUCUGGACAAGAUGGAAGAAGGAAUACCUCCUGAACCUCCAGCAGAGACAGAAGUGGACCAAAAGUCAUUAUAGAUCUCCCAGGCAUAUGCAGUCCUCCUGCAGUAUGCCACAUAAUGCCCGAGAGAAUCCUGGGUCAGUCCUGGUUCAAAGCCAAUGACUGCUCUCAAAGUAAAGGUCUUCUCUUUUAGCUCCAGACUGGAGGGAAAUUCAAGCAAGGCAACUUCCUUGCAACUGCUGCCAAGGUCAGUGUCAAUCCACACAAACUCUCCCAGAUUGUAGCUGUGAGUAACAUUACCUGAACACAGAGCCUUGCCUGUAUUGUUGUCCUGUGUUUUGAAUGAAGACGGACAAUGGGAAGGAUUUUCAAUUGGCCUGAGGCAGAGAGAGUCAGGAAGGCUGAGUCCCUCUUCAGCAGCAGUCUGAAGAGAAGCCAUGCCACAGUGGAGAUGUGGCAUUGUGCAUCAAUUUGGAGAGCACCAGAGGUCAGGAGGACAGGUUUGAAUAUUUCCCCCAGCAGUUCUGCCCUCUGUGAGUAUACCUGUGGGUUCACACUCUGUGUUGUGAUGGUUUUCACCAGGUGGAGGAAUUGGUUCCCAUGUUCAUAGUUCAGAACAGUCUUUUCAAAUGAAAAACUUUCACAGAAAGAACAGCAUAAGCAUUGCAAGACAGAAUCAAAUGCACAAGUAUUGAGCACAAACACUUUUGAUGUGCGAAGUUUAACAGGCUGUUGAUGGUUCCCGUUUUUCAACAAUGGUACCUUGACUUUUUUCCAGCCCACUUGUGUGCCAAUAUGCAGCCAUUCAGGACAAGGAGAGAGAUAUGAAGUUAUCUUUCUUUUUUUCGGUGGGACCGCUAAACCUCUCCAGUUUUCAACUGCACUGUCAGUAGAUGCAUCUGGCUCCGCUCCAGGAUGAGAUUUUUCUCCCCUUUUGUUUACUACUUCAGUUUGAGAAGUACUGCAGACAUUGUCAGGCUCUCUGACGGUCGUGGCAUCACACACAUCACUUUUUUGUUUUGCAGAGCAAAUCCGCAUGUUUCCCUCAAUGAAGGAAAGAUGACGAGCAACAAACCGGUCCACACGAAUGGGCAGUCCCAUCGGCAGAUCAUCUUAAUGCAGUGUGCUACAUCUACCCUGACAAAACAUGGGGGUAGAUGUCCAGGUUGAUUCCCACGUGAAAUGUUAAAGCACUCAUUGAUGUAGCUCUUCAGAUCAGGAUGAGGGGUAAAAGCUUUGACUAGAGCUCCAAGAAUCGCCAGAGAAAAGUCACUCACUGCUUCUUUAGGAACAGAUGCACCUGCAUGGAUCCAUUCCUUCAGCCACUGUGUGAUAGCAUUAACAUCAUGCUUCUCUGACAGCAUCUGCACGACUGGGACACUGGAGCUGGUAUGCCCUGUCAUAACACCCUGAUACAGGAAGAUAUGGCCAGACAUGCCAUUCGGCCUCAUCAGUUUUUUAACUAUUGAGCCAGUUGCAUCAACACAUAAUAUUGGGUGGGAUUUCUUUAAGCUCUUGUACACAUGCAUUUGUGUUUGACUCCAAUAGUGACAGAAAAACUUGUCAAGUCCAAUGUCUUUGAUGCUGUCACUGUGAGGUGCACUGUAUUUCAACAUCUGCAAUGAUAAAAUUGGAUUUUUGUCACCUAA